rnacentral:rRNA from 1 species
UACGUAGGGGGCAAGCGUUGUCCGGAUUUAUUGGGCGUAAAGAGCUCGUAGGCGGCUCUGUAAGUCGGGUGUGAAACCUCCAGGCUCAACCUGGAGACGCCACCCGAUACUGCUGUGGCUUGAGUCCGGUAGGGGAGCGUGGAAUUCCUGGUGUAGCGGUGAAAUGCGCAGAUAUCAGGAGGAACACCAGCGGCGAAGGCGGCGCUCUGGGCCGGAACUGACGCUGAGGAGCGAAAGCGUGGGUAGCAAACAGG